AGCGAGCGGCUGGCUGUUGGGUUGGGCCGCCCACGGCCAGCUCGCCCGGGCCAGUCACCUCCCGAGGUGCGAAACGUUUUUCUUUUUCUUUUCUCACCCUCCCCACAGGAACAGAAAGCUACCCAAUCCUCACCCCCCGACAGAGAAGGCAGCGGCGGCGCGCGUCGAGCUAGCACCGAGCGAUUCUCCUGGUGGCACCAAGCCGGCCAAGAUAACAAGCUAGCAGCCCCCUUUCUCUCCCUCAAAAAUCAGAGUGAGCAUGGUUCAUGCAUUUGAUUGUGCUCCCAGCUGAGGCUGCUGGGUCACCUGCCGGAACGCCGCCUGGAAAAAUGGCGUCCACCCUUCUCCCGACCUUAUUGCCGCCAGUUUCACGUGCCGCCGCCUUCCUCCUCCGAACCCCACCAAAACCCUUCCGCUAUCACCAUUCGCUUUUCCGCAGCCUCCUCGCGUCAGCUUCUUCCCCAUCAACCUCUCCUACUCCCCGCGCCCUCGUCACCAUGGCCUGUGCAGCUAUCCCCACCCGCCGGGAUCUCCUCAUGCUCGGCAUCGAGACCAGUUGCGACGACACUGCCGCAGCCGUGGUUAGAGGCGAUGGAGAGAUCCUUAGCCAAGCGAUUGCUUCCCAAUCAGAUUUGCUUGUGAAAUGGGGUGGUGUCGCUCCUAAGAUGGCUGAAGAAGCUCAUGCUCUUGCAAUUGAUCAGGUUGUUCAGAAAGCACUCGAUGACGCAAAUGUGUCCGAGAGUGAUCUUUCUGCUGUGGCCGUGACCAUUGGACCAGGACUUAGUCUAUGCCUUAGAGUUGGUGUUCACAAAGCUCGGAAAAUAGCAAAAGUAUUUGGCUUGCCUAUUGUUGGAGUUCACCAUAUGGAGGCACAUGCAUUAGUUUCCAGGCUAGUGAAUAAGGACCUUGAUUACCCAUUUUUAGCUCUUCUAAUUUCAGGAGGACACAAUCUUCUUGUUCUCGCUCAGAACCUUGGUGAGUAUGUUCAACUGGGAACUACAAUAGAUGAUGCAAUUGGUGAGGCAUAUGACAAGUCAGCAAGAUGGCUGGGUCUUGAUAUACAGAAAGGUGGUGGUCCUGCUCUUGAAGAGCUUGCCCUAGAAGGUGAUCCAAAUUCUAUUAAUUUCACAGUUCCGAUGCGACAACACAAAGAUUGCAAUUUCUCUUAUGCUGGUCUGAAGACUCCAGUUCGAUUGGCUAUUGAAUCCAGAAAUCUGUGCACAGAUGAUAUCCCCAUUUCUUCUGCAACAGAAGAAGACAGACAACUAAGGGCGAACAUUGCUGCCUCUUUUCAGCGGAUUGCUGUUCUACAUUUGGAGGAUAGAUGUCAGCGAGCAGUUGAAUGGGCAUUGAAGAUGAGACCUUCAAUUAAAAACUUUGUUGUUUCAGGUGGUGUUGCUUCUAACCAGUAUGUUAGGACCCGCUUGAAUCAUAUUGCUGAGAAGAAUGGCCUACAGCUCGUAUCCCCUCCCCCAAGUCUUUGUACUGACAAUGGUGUCAUGAUUGCUUGGACUGGAAUCGAGCACUUUGUUCCCGGUAGAUUUGAAGAUCCACCUCCCGCUGAUGAGCCUGAUGAUAUGCAGGUAACCUAACCAAGCGUAUGACUUGCGUCCAAGAUGGCCACUUGGUGAGGAAUAUUCAGAAGGAAGAAGUGUUUCACGAUCACUGAAAACGGCCAGGAUCCAUCCAUCACUUACAUCCAUGACACAGAGCUCUCUCCACAACUAGUAUGUGUUGAUAUUCUGGAUCAGAAUACAAUUACAUCUCACAAGGAACUGCAUAUCAACAUGUCACAAGAAGAACCGUCUACAUAGAAGGCGCCCAAACCUUGGGCAACUUGUUAAGUCCUACUUACAUGCACAUGGAAGUUUGAGUAGAACGCUUACCUGAUGAUCCUGCAGGAUUGCAUUGCCUGCUAUCGGUCUGAAGCUUCUUGCAUCUUGAUUCAUAUUCUGCUAGAAAUAUUCUUGUAGAAAGUGCUCAGGUUCUAAAUAAAAAGUGAGCAUUGCGAGACAUGAAAGGGUGGAAGUACAGCAGCAUCCUUGUCAACUUGUUUUUUCAGCUGUCCUGAUGAGUCAGAUCAUUCAUGAUGGAAGCGCUAUUUUUCUUCAUUGUUUUUUUUUUGAUAGGCAAGCUGUUCAAGACUGGGUGCUUUUUCCACACCCUAUUAUAGGCAAAUCGUCCACAUUGCGUUGCUUUUUUGUCAAAAGAGAACUGAAAAUCAAAGCCAUAUUGUUUCUGUGUUUUUGAGUCAAUACUAACCACCAUGCCCGUGUCAA